rnacentral:tRNA from 1 species
GCGGGCGUAGUUUAGUGGUAGAACCUCUGUUUUCCAAGCAGAUUGUGUCAGUUCGAUUCUGUCCGCCCGCACCA